AGCAAUACUGCACUGGUAAGGUAUGGAUCCGAACCCUCUUGAAGGUCAACCCGCAUACCCUACUUCGACUCAAUACGUCCCCAGCGUAUAGAACGGUAACAUAUCCCUCCAAAUAUCUGAGCUUGGGUAUACGGGGAAACCCAACCCCUUGGGACAAUGGGUGAUAUGGCUAAAUUGAGCGGA
rnacentral:ribozyme from 1 species